CCUACGGGAGGCUGCAGUGGGGAAUAUUGGACAAUGGGCGAAAGCCUGAUCCAGCCAUGCCGCGUGUGUGAAGAAGGCCUUCGGGUUGUAAAGCACUUUCAGUGGGGAAGAAAGCCUUGGGGCUAAUACCCUCGAGGAAGGACAUCACCCACAGAAGAAGCACCGGCUAACUCCGUGCCAGCAGCCGCGGUAAUACGGAGGGUGCGAGCGUUAAUCGGAAUUACUGGGCGUAAAGCGCGCGUAGGCGGUCUGAUAAGCCGGUUGGGAAAGCCCCGGGCUCAACCUGGGAACGGCAUCCGGAACUGUCAGGCUAGAGUGCAGGAGAGGAAGGUAGAAUUCCCGGUGUAGCGGUGAAAUGCGUAGAGAUCGGGAGGAAUACCAGUGGCGAAGGCGGCCUUCUGGACUGACACUGACGCUGAGGUGCGAAAGCGUGGGUAGCAAACAGGAUUAGAUACCCCUGUAGUC
rnacentral:rRNA from 1 species